GUCUACGGCCAUACCACCCUGAACGCGCCCGAUCUCGUCUGAUCUCGGAAGCUAAGCAGGGUCGGGCCUGGUUACUACUUGGAUGGGAGAUUGGCCUGCGUGAUUACUGAAGCCC
rnacentral:rRNA from 1 species